UAAAUGGGUUAUUGUUGCCCAGUGUUGUGUGUGAUACCUGGAAUUGGGUUUUUGGCAUCCAGAGUGGUUGGUAGACUGCAUCCAUAGGUAUAGACCUAGGCGAGGGGAAACCCAGAGGAGCUCCUAUCUGAGUACGUCGCACGCCAACGUGGCCAAUCCGGAGAAUGGGGUGAAACUCCUCUGAAAUACGGUGUUGCCUUCAUAUCACACGAAGCACAAACAAAUGGAAACACUUCAGGUGUAGUCGACCUGCAGGCACAUUAAAUUUGA
rnacentral:ribozyme from 1 species